GGUGGGGUGACUGCGUACCUUUUGUAUAAUGGGUCAGCGACUUAUAUUCUGUAGCAAGGUUAACCGUAUAGGGGAGCCGGAGGGAAACCGAGUCUUAAUUGGGCGUUAAGUUGCAGGGUAUAGACCCGAAACCCGGUGAUCUAGCCAUGGGCAGGUUGAAGGUUGGGUAACACUAACUGGAGGACCGAACCGACUAAUGUUGAAAAAUUAGCGGAUGACCUGUGGCUGGGGGUGAAAGGCCAAUCAAACCGGGAGAUAGCUGGUUCUCCCCGAAAGCUAUUUAGGUAGCGCCUCGUGAAUUCAUCUCCGGGGGUAGAGCACUGUUUCGGCUAGGGGGCCAUCCCGGCUUACCAACCCGAUGCAAACUGCGAAUACCGGAGAAUGUUAUCACGGGAGACACACGGCGGGUGCUAACGUCCGUCGUGAAGAGGGAAACAACCCAGACCGCCAGCUAAGGUCCCAAAGUCAUGGUUAAGUGGGAAACGAUGUGGGAAGGCCCAGACAGCCAGGAUGUUGGCUUAGAAGCAGCCAUCAUUUAAAGAAAGCGUAAUAGCUCACUGGUCGAGUCGGCCUGCGCGGAAGAUGUAACGGGGCUAAACCAUG
rnacentral:rRNA from 1 species